rnacentral:lncRNA from 1 species
UGAACCCUUCUUUUUGCUUGCGUUGUUGAAAGAAGGCAAGUCUAUGGAUAGGAAUGAGUGAGGCACAGCUCCCUGAGGAUGCCAUAUCUUGCCCGUUUCUUGUGUAUUAAGUGACAUCACGUGUUACCAAACUAAACCGGCUGCAUUUGCCUGCGCACAACAUAAAACCAAACACCCAAGCAUUGGAUUUUUGUAGCAAGAAAGAUGUAUUGCCAAGCAGCCUUGCAAGGGGACAGAAGACGGGCUCAAAUCUGUCUCCCAAUACUUGCUUCGCAGCAGUAGAUUUAAGGGAGAGAUUUUGGAAGUGGAGUUUCGGGCUGGACGGUGAUUGGCUGAAACGAAGAAGUGUUUAGAAAAUCUCUUGGUCAUGAGCUGUUGCUUCUUCAUGCUGCUUCAAGGGUCACAUGCAGAUUCAGGAGGUGGUAUAAAACAAGCUGUGGGAAUUUGGGCUGUGACAUCAAAGGGCCGCUCCUCGGGCUAGUAGAGCAGAUCCUGGCAGAGUUCCAGCUGCAGGAGGAGGACCUGAAGAAGGUGAUGAGACGGAUGCAGAAGG